rnacentral:rRNA from 1 species
AUUGAACGCUGGCGGCAUGCCUUACACAUGCAAGUCGAACGGCAGCACGGGUGCUUGCACCUGGUGGCGAGUGGCGAACGGGUGAGUAAUACAUCGGAACGUACCUUAUCGUGGGGGAUAGCGCAGCGAAAGCUGUGCUAAUACCGCAUACGCCCUGAGGGGGAAAGCGGGGGAUCGCAAGACCUCGCGCGAUUGGAGCGGCCGAUGCCUGAUUAGCUUGUUGGUGGGGUAAAAGCCCACCAAGGCGACGAUCAGUAGCUGGUCUGAGAGGACGAUCAGCCACACUGGGACUGAGACACGGCCCAGACUCCUACGGGAGGCAGCAGUGGGGAAUUUUGGACAAUGGGGGCAACCCUGAUCCAGCAAUGCCGCGUGAGUGAAGAAGGCCUUCGGGUUGUAAAGCUCUUUUGUCAGGGAAGAAACACCGGCUCUAACACAGUCUGGGAAUGACGGUACCUGAAGAAUAAGCACCGGCUAACUACGUGCCAGCAGCCGCGGUAA